rnacentral:misc_RNA from 1 species
GAUGAAGAACGUAGCGAAAUGCGAUAAGUAGUGUGAAUUGCAGAAUUCAGUGAGUCAUCGAAUCUUUGAACGCACAUUGCGCCCCCUGGCAUUCCGGGGGGCAUGCCUGUCCGAGCGUCAUUUCUGCCCUCCAGCCCGGCUGGGUGUUGGGCGCUGUCCCCCCGGGGACACGCCCCAAAGGCAGUGGCGGCGCCGCGUCGGGUCCUCGAGCGUAUGGGGCUUUGUCACCCGCUCGGGACGGACUCGUCGGCGCUGGUCUUCCUCCAGGCGACCCUUCGGGGCUCGUCUUCCUUCGGUUGACCUCGGAUCAGGUAGGGUUACCCGCUGAACUUAAGCAUAUCAAUAAGCGGAGGA